ACAUCCAUCCAUUCUAGACCAGAAGAUUGCUUCUCGCUGACGAGCGGCGGACGGGUGAGUAAUACUUAGGAAUCUACCUAGUAGUGGGGGAUAGCUCGGGGAAACUCGAAUUAAUACCGCAUACGACCUACGGGAGAAAGGGGGCAACUUGUUGCUCUCGCUAUUAGAUGAGCCUAAGUCGGAUUAGCUAGAUGGUGGGGUAAAGGCCUACCAUGGCGACGAUCUGUAGCUGGUCUGAGAGGAUGAUCAGCCACACCGGGACUGAGACACGGCCCGGACUCCUACGGGAGGCAGCAGUGGGGAAUAUUGGACAAUGGGGGCAACCCUGAUCCAGCCAUGCCGCGUGUGUGAAGAAGGCCUUUUGGUUGUAAAGCACUUUAAGCAGUGAAGAAGACUCCAUGGUUAAUACCCAUGGACGAUGACAUUAGCUGCAGAAUAAGCACCGGCUAACUCUGUGCCAGCAGCCGCGGUAAUACAGAGGGUGCAAGCGUUAAUCGGAAUUACUGGGCGUAAAGCGAGCGUAGGUGGCUUGAUAAGUCAGAUGUGAAAGCCCCGGGCUUAACCUGGGAACGGCAUCUGAUACUGUUAGGCUAGAGUAGGUGAGAGGAAGGUAGAAUUCCAGGUGUAGCGGUGAAAUGCGUAGAGAUCUGGAGGAAUACCGAUGGCGAAGGCAGCCUUCUGGCAUCAUACUGACACUGAGGUUCGAAAGCGUGGGUAGCAAACAGGAUUAGAUACCCUGGUAGUCCACGCCGUAAACGAUGUCUACUAGUCGUUGGGUCCCUUGAGGACUUAGUGACGCAGCUAACGCAUAAGUACACCGCCUGGGGAGUACGGCCGCAAGGUUAAAACUCAAAUGAAUUGGACGGGGCCCGCACAGCGGGGAGCAUGUGUUUUAAUUCGAUGCAACGC
rnacentral:rRNA from 1 species